UGGGGAAUAUUGCACAAUGGGGGAAACCCUGAUGCAGCGACGCCGCGUGAACGAAGAAGGUAUUCGUAUCGUAAAGUUCUGUCCUAUGGGAAGAUAAUGACAGUACCAUAGAAGAAAGCUCCGGCUAAAUACGUGCCAGCAGCCGCGGUAAUACGUAGGUGGCAAGCGUUGUCCGGAUUUAUUGGGCGUAAAGCGAGCGCAGGCGGAAGAAUAAGUCUGAUGUGAAAGCCCUCGGCUUAACCGAGGAACUGCAUCGGAAACUGUUUUUCUUGAGUGCAGAAGAGGAGAGUGGAAUUCCAUGUGUAGCGGUGGAAUGCGUAGAUAUAUGGAAGAACACCAGUGGCGAAGGCGACUCUCUGGUCUGCAACUGACGCUGAGGCUCGAAAGCAUGGGUAGCGAACAGG
rnacentral:rRNA from 1 species